rnacentral:rRNA from 1 species
UAAGGAAUAUUGGUCAAUGGUGGGAACACUGAACCAGCCAUCCCGCGUGCAGGACGAAGGCCCUCUGGGUUGUAAACUGCUUUUAACAGGGAAGAAACGCCAGGACUCGUCUUGGCCUGACGGUACCUGUGGAAUAAGCACCGGCUAACUCCGUGCCAGCAGCCGCGGUAAUACGGAGGGUGCAAGCGUUAUCCGGAAUCACUGGGUUUAAAGGGUGCGUAGGCGGCCUGGUAAGUCAGGGGUGAAAGCUUCCCGCUCAACGGGAGAACUGCCCUUGAUACUGCCGGGCUCGAAUUGGGUUGAGGCUGGCGGAAUGUGGCAUGUAGCGGUGAAAUGCUUAGAUAUGCCAUAGAACACCGAUUGCGAAGGCAGCCAGCCAAGCCUUGAUUGACGCUGAGGC